rnacentral:rRNA from 1 species
UACAGAGGUCUCAAGCGUUGUUCGGAUUCAUUGGGCGUAAAGGGUGCGUAGGUGGCGCUGUAAGUCGGGUGUGAAAUUUCGGAGCUUAACUCCGAAACUGCAUUCGAUACUGCGGUGCUUGAGGACGGAGAGGAGACUGGAAUUCCUGGUGUAGCGGUGAAAUGCGCAGAUAUCAGGAAGAACACCCGUGGCGAAGGCGGCUCUCUGGGACGGUACUGACGCUGAGACGCGAAAGCGUGGGGAGCGAACAGG